rnacentral:lncRNA from 1 species
AUGUUACUAAGGAUAAUAAAGGAUAAGAGGGUGUAUAUAAUGUUACGUUCGCGGGCGAGAACGAACAAAAAUGUGUUUCUGCAUCUUCAUCGUUUACGCUCGUUGCCCUCCUUGACCAGACACAGCGACACGCGCUGGCCAAGGAGGCUUUCUUGUAUUUGGAAUAACUUCUUCUUAGUCUUGAAAGUUCUUCAACAACAACAAUU